rnacentral:rRNA from 1 species
CCACGGGUGGCAGCAGUGAGGAAUAUUUGUCAAUGGCCGGAAGGCUGAACCAGCCAUGCCGCGUGAAGGUCAGUGCCCUAUGGGCGUUAAACUUCUUUUGUGCGGGAGCAAUAAUGGUCACGUGUGGCCAGACGAGAGUACCGUACGUAUAAGCAUCGGCUAACUCCGUGCCAGCAGCCGCGGUAAUACGGGGGAUGCAAGCGUUAUCCGGAUUUAUUGGGUUUAAAGGGUGCGUAGGCUGGGAGGUAAGUCAGCGGUGGAAUGCCCGCGCUCAACGGGGUGAAGUGCCAUUGAUACUGCCAUGCUGGAAUGCGGAUGCCGUGGGAGGAAUGUGUGGUGUAGCGGUGAAAUGCAUAGAUAUCACGCAGAACACCGAUUGCGAAGGCAUCUCACGAAUCCGCGAUUGACGCUGAUGCACGAAAGCGUGGGUAUCAAACAGGAUUAGAUACCCUAGUAGUC